rnacentral:rRNA from 1 species
UACACUCCUGCGGGAGGCAGCAGUGGGGAAUAUUGGACAAUGGGCGCAAGCCUGAUCCAGCCAUGCCGCGUGAGUGAUGAAGGCCCUAGGGUUGUAAAGCUCUUUCACCGGUGAAGAUAAUGACGGUAACCGGAGAAGAAGCCCCGACUAACUUCGUGCCAGCAGCCGCGGUAAUACGAAGGGGGCUAGCGUUGUUCGGAUUUACUGGGCGUAAAGCGCACGUAGGCGGACUAUUAAGUCAGGGGUGAAAUCCCGGGGCUCAACCCCGGAACUGCCUUUGAUACUGGUAGUCUUGAGUUCGAGAGAGGUGAGUGGAAUUCCGAGUGUAGAGGUGAAAUUCGUAGAUAUUCGGAGGAACACCAGUGGCGAAGGCGGCUCACUGGCUCGAUACUGACGCUGAGGUGCGAAAGCGUGGGGAGCAAACAGGAUUAGAAACCCUUGUAGUCCCAU